GAUUUCUGGGCAUCAGUUUCUGGCCAGCCACGGUUUCGUGUGUUAGUGCUUGAAACUUUGUCCAUCCUUCCAAUUGCUAUCCACUGAUCUUCAUUGAUUGGCGGGUAGUAUUGGAUCUUUUACUUUGAAAAAAUUAGAGUGUUUCAAGCAGGCUUUAUGCUAUGAAUACAUUAGCAUGGAAUAAUAAUUUAGGACUUCGGUUCUAUUUUGUUGGUUUCUAGGACUGAAGUAAUGAUUGAUAGGGAUAGUUGGGGGUGCUAGUAUUCAGCGGCCAGAGGUGAAAUUCUCGGAUUCGCUGAAGACUAACUUAUGCGAAAGCAUU
rnacentral:rRNA from 1 species